AGAGUUUGAUCCUAGCUCAGGAUGAACGCUGGCGGCGUGGAUAAGGCAUGCAAGUCGAACGAAUAAGUCCUAUGAAUUUACCGAAGACCUGAAGUAGCAAUACGGAUGGAAUGAAGUAUCGGAUUAGGGUUACUUAUUAGUGGCGAACGAGGUAGUAAUACAUAGGUACUUCCCCUUUAGUCGCGAAUAAUUCGCCGAAAGGCGAACUAAUACGCGAUGGUCUCGCAAGAGUAAAGAAUUUCGCUAAAGGAAAGGCCUGUGCGGUAUCAGCUAGUUGGUAGAGUAACGGCCUACCAAGGCGAUGACGCCUAGGGGCGCUGAGAGGCGGACCCCCACCGAUGGAACUGAGAUACGGUCCAUACACCUACGGGUGGCUGCAGUCGAGAAUCUUCCACAAUGGACGAAAGUCUGAUGGAGCGACGCCGCGUGAUUGAUGAAGCCCCUUCGGGGCGUAAAGAUCUUUUAUGAGGGAAGAAGUUUAUUGACUGUACCUCAUGAAUAAGAGGCUCCCAAUCUCGUGCCAGCAGGAGCGGUAAUACGAGAGCCUCGAGCGUUAUCCGGAAUUAUUGGGCGUAAAGGGUGCGUAGGUUGUUCUGUUAGUCUUUUGUCAAAUUCCCGAGCUUAACUUGGGACCCGCAAAAGAAACGGCAGGACUUGAAAGUGUGAGAGGCGUACGGAACUCAUGGUGUAGGGGUGAAAUCCGUUGAUAUCAUGGGGAACACCAAAUGCGAAGGCAGUACGCUGGCGCAUAUUUGACACUGAAGCACGAAAGCGUGGGUAGCGAAUGGGAUCAAUCUGGUCCCUUCCGAUAGUGAUAUCGGAAUGAGAAUUUGGCUAUAUGCUGGAAUAUCUGUGUAUCUUCUACUACACAAUCUGCAAAGAUUGUGUGAUAAUGUAUGAAGUGCAGACAAUCAGCAGGGAAGGCUUGCAAAAUUGAAAGAGGGAAAAUUUCCGUCGUCCAAGAACCCGAAAGAGGGUAGGACCCUACAGAGGUGCUAGAGGUGUGUUAUGACCCCUUGCGGGUAUCGGCAUUACCUGCCAGUGGGAUAAUUGCCACUGGUAAUCACCAUGUACAAUGUGGAGUAAGUUGGGGUAUGGA
rnacentral:rRNA from 1 species